AAAAUCGGAGGCGGAAUUGAAAACUGGCAAACAGAAAAACCCUAACCUUAAAAUCAAAGACAAACCUGGUUUGAAGAGUUGGAGGAGUUUGAAGCUUCAUCAUCGCCGUCAUUACCGCCGAAGGUGAGCUCCUUUUUUAUCCCAUCCACGAGUUCUUGCAUGUCCCGGUGUGUUUGAGUGAGACGCGAGCGAUUGGGAACGACACUGAUUGGGAACUUUUGAGAGCGAUACCGAGAUUGAGAGAGCGGUGAG
rnacentral:lncRNA from 1 species